CUUCAAGUGUACUGAAUCUGGAUUUAUUCAUUUUUAAAAUCUCCUUUUCUUUGCUAUUACUGGUUCCAGCUCCAUUUUUUCCUUCUUCUUUCUUGUUUCUUUUUUGCCUUUGAAUGACCAUCCAUGGUCCGUAGUUGUUGUUAUCUUGUUGAACGAUUUCCUUCCCUUUUUUGGAAGUCUCUGGCUCAUCUUUCCUUUUCUCAAACCUAAUGGUCUUCUCUGCCACUAUAUUUUCUUCUAGGUUAGCCUUAUCUCCUUCUUGGUAUUGUUCUUUGGCCUCUUGCUCCUUUAAGCUUUUCCAUAUUUGACAAAUUUUUGCUCAUGAUCAAUUCUUCCGCAAGUAAAGUAGAUUUGAUAGAUUCCUUCAUAUUCUACUUGAUACAUUUUGCCAUUGACCAUGUAUUUUCCCAUCAAAGGCUUAGUUAGAUCAACCUCCACACAAAGUCUAGCAAAUUUAUCUCUACAUAAGUGUGAUGUGUUAUAAUCAACUUUGCAAGUUCUUCCAAUGGGAUCCCCUAUUUUUCUUAAAAUUUUAUCAUUGUAGAGCUCUAUAGGAAGUCCCGGUAAUCUGAUCCAUGCGGUAAUUUUGUCUAUAGAUGUCAGGAGGGGAUUAAAAUGGGUUCCCAGAGUCUGACCGCGAGGUAAUGGUCGUAGAUCUUCCAUGGUCCCUCCAAUAGAGCAUGAUCUAAAUCCUCUUCUGCAUAGAACUUGACCAAGUAGAAUUCAUUACCCAGGUCUAUGACGUCCAGGUCUCCAAAUCUACCCCACAUUGUCUAUAUUCUCCUUUUCAUGAUAGCAUAGCUAAUUUUCCUUCCCAAAAGUUUUACAAUCAAGGAUUUCCACCAAGGCUCCCAUAGUUUUUUCUUUGCACUUUCAUUGAUCACGAUGUUGAAAAGGUCGUCUCCCAUAUCGACUACUUCUAUCUCUGAUUUUUCAGCUUUCUUUUGAAUAUCCUUUCCUUCAUUUUCUUCUUCUAUUUCUGGGAUAAUAUCCUAGAUAUUGCCCAUAUCCUUCUCUUCAGAUUUUUCAUCAUCUUCCAUCGAAUCUGGAGCGUGUACCACCCCCGUUACCAUGUCUGCAUAAGUUAUGGUCUCGGUCUUGGGGCUGUGGGUCAUGCUCAUUUGGGGCCCUUUUCGGCCGUUCAUUGCCGGCCAUGAGCCUCUGGUUGCAGGCAAAAGACACGAUUAUAUGAAGAGAGAAAUG